CUGAAGAUCGCUCCUGGUGGAGUUUUCUUGUGAGCCUACAACUCUGAUGAACGUAAUCAGUACUGCAGUACGGGUUACCUCUGUAUUUCAACAAGAGCGCCUGGAGCAGCGCCAGCUCAGCAGCCCUCCGCUCUCCCAUCAGGACACUGCUGCGCCUGUCAACACUCGUGAUAACAUCUGUAACACCUGUAAGCCACUGUGUCACCUCACCAACCUAUUUCUUAAGUAUCCCACCCAUGCUAAUGCCAUUAACGAGCAUUUCAUAAUUAACUUAGGCAACCCUCAGCUCUAUAGAAGCAUCCCCGUCU
rnacentral:lncRNA from 1 species